rnacentral:RNase_P_RNA from 3 species
GAAGCACGCCAGACCGCCGCUGGUGCAAUCUGGGAAACCAGGCACUGGAGGAACGUCCGGACUGCACAGGACAGCGUAGCAGCUAACGGCUGCCCACCGUGAGGUGAGGAUCAGAGCAACAGAGACGAGUCCCGGGGGAGUGCCGCAAGGUAGACCACUGGGGGUGAAACGGGCAAUCUCUACGCGCAGCAAUACCAAGUAGGCCAGCGUUGAUGUGGUUCCGCAGAGCUGGCGGGUAGGUAGCAUCGAGCCGGGUGGGCGACCCCCGGCCCAGAGUAAUGGCGGUCACGCUGCGGGCAACCGCAGUGCACAGAAUCCGGCUUAUCGGCGCGCUUCACAC